CAUUUGUUAGCUGUGCACUAUUUGGAGUUACCUUUCGAUAUGCAGUUCGAAGAGACUUGGAUGAUGUUCAUCUUAAGACAGGAGCACCUGCAGCUUUCGGCGUUGUCAAAGGUCUUGCUACACUGGAUGGUGGACAACCUCUUGAGCUAAAUGCUGGUAGCUUCUUAUCACAUGCUUUUGAUGGUGCACUGUAUUUAUCUCAGAGUCUUUUUGUUUUUCUUUCUGCUGCGAUUGCCCUGGAUUAUUGUUUUAAGGCAAGGCUCUUGAGUCCUUUUCCUAUCAAGAGUCCUGUAUCAGGAUCGAAUUCUAGAUGAUGUUCUAGUUAAGCAAAGGUGUUCAUACUUGGGAGAAAUGCAAUUACUUUGUAUCAGAA